ensembl:lncRNA
GGGUGGGGGGACUGGCUCAACCCCAUCUCUAUAAACCACUCAAUAGCUGCUGCAACUGGGAAAAAUGAAUUGGGGUGGUGGGAGGCACCAAUUGCAGAAAGGAGAGAUAACAAGGCAACAGGAGGGAUGAAUAAAACCAGGAGGAAACUUUGCCAACAGGGCUCACCUCCAAAGGUUGGUGCUCCAGAAUGGUUUGUACCCCCUGGGAACUCGCAGGCUCCUGGGAGCUGCCCCUGCUGCAUCUCCCCCAUCCAGGCCAGGCACACAAGGCUCCAGCAUGUGUUCCUGUUGGACCCCGUGCCUCCCACCAGGUGAAAUACAUCCAUCAGAGCACCUCAGGCUCCUUAAACACCGGAGCUGAAAAGUCACCUGCCUAUUCAGGCCUGUAUAAAUCUGGUACACUAUUGCCUCUCCCUGACAGCAACUUCAUCCAGCGCCAGCAUUCUUCCCAGCAUCUCUGACAUUUCAGAAUUAUAUUUAGAGACCUGGAUGGGAAUUUAAUUUUGAAGUUUUUCACGGCACCCUGUCAUAUAAAUAUUCCGCAGUGUCUGCCGUCGGGGGUGUCGGAGCGGAGCGAGCCCGUGCCACUGCCUCUAAUUAAACAGGCCCAAGGAAAGGCACUAAAGAGUGCUGGAACCAUCUUAAAAGUCAGCACGUGUCUCCCUAUUAAUUCUCACCCUGAUCUUUUGCAUAGCGCUAUCGCCAGGCUAAUUAAUCACCGGUGUGAGCUCGAGCAUUAAUUGGAACAAUGAAUCAUUUUUUUUUGUCUGUUCCUGGCCACUUCUAGCCUAUAGGAAUGCAGCUACUGCCAUUACUUUAAUAAUUAUUAUAAAUAUAAAGCCAGCAGCAUGCACUACAUUUGGUAGGCAUUAAAAAAGACGUGGUAUUUGGCCUGGAGCAUUAACAAUCUGGUGCAUGUUCAGGGGAGUGAUGGAUGCAGCUCGCUGACAGUCCGGAAAUGUGCUCCCUGAAUCACUUUAACUCAGGACACUUUAUGAAGGUGCUGGGGAAAGCACAGGUUUCAGGGAUCCAGUGUCUGGAUCAACACGCUUCAGCAGGUCCUGGCCACUCAUGGCUUGUUGGGACUUCCAGGGCACCCAGGGAUGGAAACAUCUCCAUGAACUGCACGAGAGAGGAGAAGCUGCUGACAGAGCUGUUCCAAGAGAUCGGAUUAUAAAUGUAUGGAAUUACUUAGGUGCAUCCUGCAUCCUGCCCAGGAAAAGCACCUGCAUGCACAAUGCCCAGCUGGGAUGUGGCACUGAGAGCUCAGGCACUGAGGUCAGAACUCACCUCCAGUGUCAGGCUGGCAGAAGCACUCCAGGCUUCGGAUGCUGGGAAACACAAAGCCACAAGGAUGAGAACAGAACUUUUCAGGGAGGAAACAAAAGCUAAAAUGUGAACAGCUAUAAACCCCCAAUUUGUCACCCAGAGGACAGCAAGUAUUUCCUUUCCUUGCCAGCCUGGAGGCUGGGGAGAAGCAGAAGUGGCUGAAGGAGAGCUCAAGGUGAGGCCCGUUAUUUACUGCUGCUGAUGAAUAAGCAAACCCCCACAUCAUGUUUUCCUCCAGGACAGGAAAAGCUCUGGAGUGUUUAGCAGGCUGGGCUGGGCAGUUGUUCUUUCCCCCCUCCUGAGGUGUGUUUUACAUGCUCUUCCAGUGAGACACAGUCCCACUAUUAAUUGUUCACACACAUAAAACACAUGGAAUUCUCCUCCACCCCCACACUCAGACCCAGCAGACCAAGUGGGGGAGGGCUGGAAAAUCACCCACCAAGACAGAGGUGGGAGGAAUAACGUAAAAAAGAUCCAAAAAGAUUUGUGUUGUUUUUUUUUUAAGUGCAAUAUACUUCUCUGCACCAGUUUAAAAGCACAGGCUUGUUUGAACUUCCUAGGGAAGGCGGGAGCAUGAGGCAGGAAUUGGCAGGCUCCAAUCUGGCUGCUUUUCCUUAUUAUGAGAAAAUCCACUCUGGUCUUGUGCGAGGGUAUGAAUUCUUCAUCUCAUAUUGUGUUUGCACAGAAGCGUGAAAUACACCCCGAGCACUGGUGCCGUCCCCAGAGCACAAUGCGAGAACAAGGAGGGCACUGAGAACGGGGCCGCUGCUCGCCCAGGGCCCGGGCUCUGCACUGCAUUCAGCACAUCCACGGCACUGAAAAGGAGAGCCCAAGGCACGUAUUUCCUCCCCUGUGCUCGGGGCCCCUGGGCUGUGGGCUGUCGUCCCUGUGGGAAGCUCCCACCCUCCUUUCCAUAAAUGUUCCCCCGCUGCCACUGAAUCACCAAAUAAUCAGGAGAUCCGUGGGAAGGGAAUUAAAGGGUGGUUAUCACGCUGCCGUGUUCUGCUCACUUUAUUUGUUUUAAAUGACCAUGAAAGCAAAGGAGGGGGGAAAGAAAACACACAAGUGGAAACUUAAUUGAGUUGCUGAAAUGUCUUCAAAGGAGCAUUCUGGGCUGGAUGGCGAUGCCUCGGCUCCCACUGGUGGCAUUUGCUCACAUGAGUGGGCAGCUGAUGAGGCAGUUUGGGACCUUUCUCUGAGUGCUCUGUGUCUUCUGCUGCAGGCUUGGAACAGAGGAUGGGCACAGACACCCAGCUCUGGGGGCUUGGGGAUACUGCAUGUCCCAGAAAGGAGCAGGAUGGGAGCAGGCUGCAGGUACCCGGUAUUGCUCUGGGCUACAAGGGUCUGAGUCCUUGUUUCAUGAGAGGGUUUGCUGCUCCAGGGGGAAUAUGCAUGUUGGGAUACAGCUUUUCCCUCCUGGAGCAAAGACCAUCUGCCCCAGCUCUGCUUCUGGGCAGGAGGAAGGGGGAACUCGCUCCACUCGUCAUGGGCACCAAAGUGCAGGCACAAGGUGACAAAACCAACUGAAGUCACAAAGUGGCCUUGGUUAGAGGCUGCCUCAGGAUGGAGGUUUGGGAAGGGUUUCCAGAGGGGUUGCAGAGCCCAUGGAAGAUUUAUGGGGCAGGAGAACACAUCAAAGAGCUGGUCUGGGACAGGAGCAUGAUCAGAGGGACAGGAACAGUGCCACAGGAAAAGAAGAAAACUUGCAGUGGAAGUGGCCAGAAGAAAAGGACCCACAUGGGGGAAGAAGACUCAGACAAAGAAGAGGGAGGAACUGCCCUGACCAACUGGCUGGAGCCGGAAUGUAGGAGAGGGGGCAAAGAAAAGCCAAGAUGUGGAAAGGCAGGUCCCACAAUCCAGCACAAACCAAGCCACCCACACCUGAGGGAGAAGACAGGGUGGGACCGUGUGGGAAAAGGGGGCUCAAGAGAUCCAGUGUGGGAGCCCAGGGAUCUGACAGGGAACCUGCUGGACCUGCUGGAGCAGCCACACUCCGGCUAAUCUCCGAGUGGAACAGAACUUGCCUCUGGCUUGUUACACCCCAUUUUAUUAUGAGUCCAAUAUGCACCCAAGUAAAUAAAAAUGUGGUCCUCUCUCAAUCUUCUAAUGGAUCUUAAAAUCUUCUAACAUGCAGGAAACUCUAUCAAAGAUCCCUUGGAAAGGAUCCCUGCAUUCUCAUGCCUGAGUUCUGAGUCCUGUGCAAAUCCAAACGAAGGCAAAUGGGAGGAGGGGGAGCUGAGCUGCUCUGCCUUGCUGUGUGCAUCCCUUACACUGGCCCAACACUGCUCAGAGGAAUGGAUCAGCUCCUUUCUGAUCCGUUUGUCCAGCCUCCUCCCUAUGCAUGGGCCAACUCCAGCCCAGCAGUGGUUUUUGGAACGCUCUGUAUCCUGCUCAGUCCCUCCUGCCCCAUCUCCAUGCCCCAGGUGUUUUGUCAGGUGCCUUCCUAUCCCAGGAUCUCCCAGGAGCCUGGUGCUCUGAAAUCCAGUGAGGAAGGGUACACAUCCCACUUGUGCUGGGAAGAUAAUGAAAAGGGCAGCCAGGGAUGGAAAGAGGGAUGAAGACCUUCCUGCACACCUCCUGCUCCACUGGCUCUCACUAGGUCAGCACUUUCUGGGAAUUACUGCAUUGCCAGAUGUUGAUUGGGCAUCUGACAGGAGAUGAAUAAAGCCAAUAAAGCUCUUAUUUCUGGCUAUAAAAACAAUAAUGAAAAGCAGACAGGGAUGGCAGAUACGUUGCCUAAAGCCUUCCUAGGCCACACUGAGCCAAAUAUAGCAGGAAUUACCUUCAGCUGCCCUCCCUUCUUGUUCCCUCCUGCCUGUGUGCCACGAGCAACAGCCCUGAGAUGGAGCACUUGGAUGCUACUGUGUACAGGCAGAAUUCCUCUAUUCCUGUCCAAGCUCCCCAGCCAAGACCCUCCUCCAG